rnacentral:rRNA from 1 species
GUGUCAGCAGCCGCGGUAAUACGUAGGUGGCAAGCGUUGUCCGGAAUUAUUGGGCGUAAAGGGCGCGUAGGCGGAUAUCCAAGUCUUUAGUAAAAGUGCGGGGCUCAACCCCGUGAAGCGAAAGAAACUGGGUAACUUGAGUGCAGGAGAGGAAAGUGGAAUUCCCAGUGUAGCGGUGAAAUGCGUAGAUAUUGGGAGGAACACCAGUGGCGAAGGCGACUUUCUGGACUGUAACUGACGCUGAGGCGCGAAAGCUAGGGGAGUGAACGGGAUUAGAUACCCCGGUAAUCCUAGCCGUAAACGAUGGGUACUAGGUGUAGAGGGGUCGAACCCUCUGUGCCGGAGUUAACGCAAUAAGUACCCCGCCUGGGGAGUACGGCCGCAAGGUUGAA